GAAGCCAGCUUGCUGGGUGGAUUAGUGGCGAACGGGUGAGUAACACGUGAGCAACCUGCCCCGGACUCUGGGAUAAGCGCUGGAAACGGUGUCUAAUACCGGAUAUGAGCUCCUGCCGCAUGGUGGGGGUUGGAAAGAUUUUUCGGUUCGGGAUGGGCUCGCGGCCUAUCAGCUUGUUGGUGAGGUAAUGGCUCACCAAGGCGUCGACGGGUAGCCGGCCUGAGAGGGUGACCGGCCACACUGGGACUGAGACACGGCCCAGACUCCUACGGGAGGCAGCAGUGGGGAAUAUUGCACAAUGGGCGGAAGCCUGAUGCAGCAACGCCGCGUGAGGGAUGACGGCCUUCGGGUUGUAAACCUCUUUUAGCAGGGAAGAAGCGAAAGUGACGGUACCUGCAGAAAAAGCGCCGGCUAACUACGUGCCAGCAGCCGCGGUAAUACGUAGGGCGCAAGCGUUAUCCGGAAUUAUUGGGCGUAAAGAGCUCGUAGGCGGUUUGUCGCGUCUGCU
rnacentral:rRNA from 1 species